rnacentral:sRNA from 1 species
AGCUAUGCAGGCCUCUCAAAUGUUUGCCAAGAAGUAGUAAAGAUUAAUUUACUAUCAGAAUACUCUUACAAUAUUAGAGUACACGGCCAUAGAAAACGGCCACAUCAACCAAUGUACCCAUGCCAUCGCUGCCGCUAUCAGCUCUACAUAUAGGAUUCUCCCCCUCUUUCUGGUGGAGAAAUGAUCUUUGCUAGGUCGAUCCAAAACCAUAAUAGUCUCGAUUCCAAAAAAAACCGGGAUUAAAAAUGAUCUUUAGUCCCGGUUAAAGAUCCUACUAAAAAUGUCAGAUGUAUGUCGGGGGCCGAGGAUCUUUAGUCCUGGUUGGUGUCACGCCAACUGGGACUAAAGAUCACCACUUUAGUCUUGGUUGGUAAUACCAACCGGGACUAAAGAUCAUCUAGACUCUCGGUUGGUAUUACCAACCAGAACUAAAAUUAAACGCGUAAUAUAUAAUCCCUAUCACUUAUCCUCUCCUCUACAAUCGCAACUCACACAGAUCAAAUCUCUCCCCCUCUUCCCUUUCCUCCUCCUCUCCUCUCCUACAGUCUAUCCUCUCUUCCUCAUCCCCUCUCCUCCACCUCCUGCCCUUCCUCCUCUCCUCCCCCUCCUCCCCUUCCCAUCCGGCGGGCCGGCGGCCGUGGCGAGCAGUGGCAGCGGCUUUGUUUGUCUUUUUUUAUAUAAUCUGUGAUUCACUAAGAUGUUUAAAUUUGUGAUUCAAUGCAUGGAUCUGAGAUGUAUAAUCUGUAAUGUAUUUGAUUUGUGUGUAAUUUUUUAGGAUUUGUGAUGUAUUUGAUUUUUGUGUAUAAGUAACUUUAAGAUUUAUGAUGUAGAUUUGGGAUGUUACAUUGAUUUGGGGAUUUAGGGUUUGAUUUGAUUUGGGGAUUUGGGGUAUGAUUUAGGGAUAUGCAUGCCACUUGAUUCGGGAGAAAAUAAAAAAAGAAAAAAAAGAAAAGGGGAUC